AGGAUAAAGGAGUACGCUUACGAUGAAAGUGAUGAGGAAAUGUCCUCUUGCUGGUGCUUCUGUCGAAGGUCCAAAACCAAGAAGAAACCUCCGGCCAAGCGAAAGCUGAAGUACGAAGUAAAGAAUGUGAUAACAAGGUCCCCUUCUCCUGUUAAACCACUCAAAGGGAACGAACUCUUGAAGAAUCUGCGUCAUGAGGGUCCAACCAUCAUAAGGUCAAGCAGUAGAACUAGUUUCAUUUCGUACACUUUAUCCACAGAGGCCAUUAAUGUGUUAAAGGACAGCCAUGUUUUCAACAAGAUUGGAAGUUUAGAAAGCAUGCAGAACAGGAAGAAUUCCAUCAACUGUAAUGGUGAAAGGUUGGAUCAGUGUGAUACUAAUGAUAAGGAAAAUCUGGGCAACCACACAGAGAAUAAUCUAAACAAUGAUCAAAGGAAAAAGAGAGAAAACUUAAAUUUGUCACUACAGACAGAGAAACCUGUGGAGCAUUGCCUUAUGUGGAGACAUCGAGGGCCAACGUUCAAGAAGUUGGUGGAGAGGUUCUACAAAUCCCUAACUAGUGCGAUGAACAUGUCCAUCAUCAAGUACUUUGAACAGGAGCGUGGAACUCUUGUCCUACGUGUGGACAUGGAAAACUCCCUGAUGGUGUGCAAUAUAUGUAUGACUCCUAAACAAGUGACUGAUGUCUGCGUCAACCUAGAGGACGGUAGUCUGUUGAGAGUGUUUGAAUCUAUUCUGGUCACCAACGACAUUCUGGAGGAUUUGGCAGUGCGCCAGAUCAAGCUUCGAGUGGUGAUUGACAGCGAUGAACUUGCCCUUGCUAAGCAAGAGUUGGCUUGAUUGGUCGAUAUUGCUGUACAUAUCUUCUCUAAUGUUCGUUUUAGAUGGAUAGGUUUUGAAGACGAGGAGAGUUUUAUGUCUGCAUUUUGUUAUACAUGUGUAGUGUAUUGUGGAUUAAGAUGUAUAUGUAUACUAUAAAUAUUCAACAAGUCACUCUUUUCAAUAAGGAUUUUUCAAUGAUACUUUAUUUUUUGUUACUGUGAUUUUGUUUUUUUAAUAUUUUCCCAACUCAGUGUUUACUUACUAACAUACUGGUGAAUUUAUUAGCCUUUUAUCAAAAACUUCAGCUAGUCUUGCACACAUUUUUAGAUGUGCUGUUUACGAUAAACACAUUAGUCACGGACGAAGCAUUGCUUUAUGCAUCAUGCAUAUAACACUUCUUUUGUUCUUAUUGUCUAGGGAACAGUUUUUUCUUUCUUUUUUUUUUUACUUAUUAUAGAAUAUUAGACAUAUCUUUUAGUGAAGUGGUUGCUCAUUGAUACAUUUUGAGGUCUAUAGAUAUGAUGGGACUUGGUGAUUGAGUUUAUUCAUUGCUUUUUUCAGCAGUGGUGUUGUUCAAAUAUGUCAUCACUUUAUUUUGUUAUGACCAUACUCAAAUGUUGUUUGUUUCAGCCUUAAUACUCGUGAGGGUUUUAAUAUCACAAGUUUCUCUCCAUAUUUUCUUAAAAUGCAAUCUAUGUAGAAACUACAACAUGUGGUUUAAACAUUUGACAGUUAGUUUGAUUAAGUUCCCAUAGAGCAUAUAUUGACUUAAAAAUUUUCAUAAAAAUAAUGGAGAUAUUGUCCAACUAGCACCUGAUCCUUUCCCUGCUUUCACCAAUUAAACAUAUUCCUCCUGCUUCUCUGAAAAUUCAUGUUGAAUUAUUUUUUUAAUAUUGAAGAUGUAAUAUUUUUUUCAUGUAUAGAUAAUACUAUUCAGAUGAUUUCAAAAUACAUGUGUAGACUAUUUUGAGAAAAAAAAGAAUUUUUGGUUCAGAGUUGAUUUCAAGUGACCAAUGCCAUUAUCUCUGCUGAAAUGUCUUCUAAAGACAUCAUACAAUUUAUUUAUUUUUUCAAUAUUAUAAGCUUUUAUAUACUUUUGGGCAUUUCUGACUAUUGGUCAGUACUAAGAUUGUAUUUUUUAAGAAAUAGACCACACUAUUUGAUUGCAUCUGUAAUUUGCUAUAAGAAAAGUGCCAUAACUCUUCCAAUUCAUUUUGCUAUUAGUGUUCAGUGGUAGUAUAUGAGCGAUAAGGUGUACUUGGGAUUCAGCAUCAUCACUUUGUCUACGCAUCAUAAUUCUUUGUCUUCCAUAAAAUAAGAGUCCAUUCCAGCUUCAAGUUGAUGCAAAGUCACAUGCAUAUAAAAUUUUGCCUGUUAACAGUCUGCUCACACUUAUAUUGUGUAUUAACAUGUUGUGAUUUUCGCUGAUUAAAAGUGGCAUAUACAGAUUAGAUCGUGAUCCAGAUGUACAUUAUUUUAAUUUUUUUUAUGUAAGAAUCCAUUUGAUUACCUCUGUAUUUUAGUCUACAUGCCCUAAUUUUAUUGAAUUAUGUCCCUUUACAACAUCCCCCCUUUCCUCCCAUGGCCUGGUGCUUUUUUCCCUGUGUAAUUUUGUGAUGUUUUAUAAACAGCAUGAUUGUGUGAUUUUAUUAGAUAUAGAAUUUUUUUUAAGAAGCAGACUUAAUAUGUGUACAUAAGUAAAUGCCUAUUAAUAUAUUUUGAAAUAAAUAA
rnacentral:misc_RNA from 1 species